rnacentral:rRNA from 1 species
GUGGGGAAUAUUCCGCAAUGGACGAAAGUCUGACGGAGCAACGCCGCGUGAGUGAUGAAGGUUUUCGGACUGUAAAGCUCUGUUGUUUAGGACGAAAGUGCCUGUUGCAAAUAGUUACAGGUAUUGACGGUACUGAACGAGGAAGCCACGGCUAACUACGUGCCAGCAGCCGCGGUAAUACGUAGGUGGCAAGCGUUGUCCGGAAUUAUUGGGCGUAAAGAGCAUGUAGGCGGGAAUCUAAGUCUGUUGUGAAAAUGCGGGGCUCAACCCCGUAUUGCGAUGGAAACUGGGUUUCUUGAGUGCAGGAGAGGAAAGUGGAAUUCCCAGUGUAGCGGUGAAAUGCGUAGAUAUUGGGAGGAACACCAGUGGCGAAGGCGCCUUUCUGGACUGUGUCUGACGCUGAGAUGCGAAAGCCAGGGUAGCGAACGGGAUUAGAAACCCGAGUAGUCC